rnacentral:precursor_RNA from 15 species
CAGGAUGGGUCCGUGCACCAUGGCCCUGGCUGAGGUAGUAGUUUGUGCUGUUGGUCGGGUUGUGACAUUGCCCGCUGUGGAGAUAACUGCGCAAGCUACUGCCUUGCUAGUGCUGGUGAUGAUCGGCUACAGAUGAA